rnacentral:rRNA from 1 species
AAUAUUUCACAAUGGGGGAAACCCUGACGCAGCAACGCCGCGUGAGCGACGAAGGNCGNNGGGUCNUNAAGCUCUGUCUAGUGNNNNNAAUGUUGACAGUACCUCUGGAAGAAGCCCCGGCUAACUACGUGCCAGCAGCCGCGGUAAUACGUAGGGGGCAAGCGUUGUCCGGAUUUACUUGGCGUAAAGGGCGCGUAGGCGGUAGUUUAACUCAGAUGUGAAAGUCCAGGGCUCAACCGUGGAAUUGCAUUUGAAACAGAAUUACUUGAGUGCAGGAGAGGAGAGCGGAAUUCCUAGUGUAGAGGUGAAAUGCGUAGAUAUUAGGAAGAACACCAGUGGCGAAGGCGGCUCUCUGGACAGUAACUGACGCUGAGGAGCGAAAGCGUGGGGAGCGAAC